rnacentral:rRNA from 1 species
GAUGAACGCUGGCGGCGUGCCUAAUACAUGCAAGUCGAGCGAACAGACGAGGAGCUUGCUCCUCUGACGUUAUCGGCGGACGGGUGAGUAACACGUGGAUAACCUACCUAUAAGACUGGGAUAACUUCGGGAAACCGGAGCUAAUACCGGAUAAUAUAUUGAACCGCAUGGUUCAAUAGUGAAGGACGGUUUUGCUGUCACUUAUAGAUGGAUCCGCGCCGCAUUAGCUAGUUGGUAAGGUAACGGCUUACCAAGGCAACGAUGCGUAGCCGACCUGAGAGGGUGAUCGGCCACACUGGAACUGAGACACGGUCCAGACUCCUACGGGAGGCAGCAGUAGGGAAUCUUCCGCAAUGGGCGAAAGCCUGACGGAGCAACGCCGCGUGAGUGAUGAAGGUCUUCGGAUCGUAAAACUCUGUUAUUAGGGAAGAACAAAUGUGUAAGUAACUAUGCACGUCUUGACGGUACCUAAUCAGAAAGCCACGGCUAACUACGUG